rnacentral:rRNA from 1 species
AUUGAACGCUGGCGGCAUGCCUUACACAUGCAAGUCGAACGGUAACAGGUCUUCGGAUGCUGACGAGUGGCGAACGGGUGAGUAAUACAUCGGAACGUGCCCAGACGUGGGGGAUAACGAGGCGAAAGCUUUGCUAAUACCGCAUACGAUCUAAGGAUGAAAGCCGGGGACCGCAAGGCCUUGCGCGUUUGGAGCGGCCGAUGGGAGAUUAGGUAGUUGGUGGGAUAAAAGCUUACCAAGCCGACGAUCUGUAGCUGGACUGAGAGGACGACCAGCCACACUAGAACUGGGACACGGCCCAGACUCCUACGGGAGGCAGCAGUGGGGAAUUUUGGACAAUGGGCGAAAGCCUGAUCCAGCAAUGCCGCGUGCAGGAUGAAGGCCUUCGGGUUGUAAACUGCUUUUGUACGGAACGAAAAGGCUCUGGCUAAUACCUGGGGCACAUGACGGUACCGUAAGAAUAAGCACCGACUAACUACGUG